CACACUAAACGGCCGCAGAGAGAAACAAAGAAGCUGGCGCAGUGUCAUUAAUCUUAGUCAACUGGCAGCUCUGGUGUAAUUUGCAUGACUUAGGCAGUGACACAGGAUGAGGCUUGCUUGGGAUGGGUGUUAGAUCACUAUGAUACGUAUGUAUUUAUUCCCCUUUAGUCUCCUGAUUUAUAAGCAGAAAGAAGUUUGCAUGUGGAAAUGGAUAAAAACAACAGUGUUAAUGGAAGGAGUUGUAGAUUACCCGGAUUAUUACUGGCAAUAUAUAUGUUCUUUUGUUUUCAUAUUGAGUAUUUCUGGUUUACAGUUGUUAAAAAGACAUCUGUGAAUCCCUAUCAAGAUGGAAAACAAUUGCAAAUAUAUUGUGGCUGGGUUAGUUAGGUAGACGUUUGUCUUAGGAUGAUACCAGUGGAAGACGUUUCGCUUCUUUUUUUCUCCUUUCAUGUCUAAUAUACAUUGAUUCAUUGCUUUAGGAACCUAUCCGUUUGGGGAGAGGCACUUUUGAAUUGCGUUACAGAAAACCUUCCAACUCCACUUAUGAAAAUAUCAUUUGGAAAUAAGCACUUGGGAACAUGGAUACAGAUGCAAAUGCUUUCCCUUUUCAUCCUAAGACGUAGACUGAGACUCUGAAUUACAGAAACAUUUAGAUAAGACAUUCGAAGAAAAGCACACAAAUUGAGCUGCAAACGUCAUAACAGAUGACAAAUAAAAGUUGCUUGAGGACCAAUUUGAUUUAACAGAUCCAAAGGCGGUCUUUGAAACCCAGGCAGAAAUAUCUUUCCAGAAAGAAUGUAAACUGGGAGCUCCUGAGCCGGGCAUCAUAACUGAUCAUCAUCUGAUUCAGUCAACGCGUUUCCUGAAUGAUCACCACUAUUUCUAUAUACUCUCUUGUCCAAGUCAAAACUACACGUGUGGCAGAAGUAAUUUGUCCAGAGUACUCCGAGAGAAGAAUUUCUAUUCAGUUGUGCAGAGUAAAUGAAAGUAAUUUACUGAAAGUCUUUGCCUGGUAUUAUUUUGGUAUGCGGUCCAAGACAUGAUUAGAGGCACCUAUACUUGCCAGAUACACCAUUAAUUACUAUGUCAAGUCUUCAAUGAAAUCAUGAUUGAUGCUGUCCUCAUUUACCAUUUGAAACUGACUGGCAGAAAGGGAAAUAGCAUGAAAGAUCACACCGCAGGGGAGUUGUUACAGGCCGAGCCUCAAAGUGACACGCAUCGCUUCUGCUCAAAUUCUACCGGUGAGAACUUCAUCAUCUUCAUCACGGGACCAAACUCUAACUUCAAGGGAGGCUAUGAAACGUUGUCUAUGUGCUUGCAGAAAAAUAAAAUGGAUUUGAAUGGAUAGCAGUGGUCUUUGCACCAAACAAUAGCCCUUUUCCUGAAGUCUACAUACCUGCAUUUAUAAAUUUAUAUAGAGGUGAAGCAGUCUUUUUUGGGGAAAAAAAAAGGAUCUUGGAUCUUUUAUUCUCAAUCCCCACCUAAGCUUUAAGACUGUUAAGAACACAUUUAAUGAACUGUGAAGGCUCAGAUCAAGACUGUAUUUCAGGAAGAAAAAUGCACUCUCUUAGAGAAAACCUUUGUGAGGAGUUCAGAUCUAGAAGCCUGAAGUCCUUGUGGUGGUCUCCAUAUUACAGGUCUUAACUGGUCUUAACUAUUUCCAUUUUGACCUACAUGGCUACAGUCAUGGCAAAGCCAUGGCGCCAGUUGUCUGGGUCUGGGUGGAUUUUGGUGCCAGGCAUAAACUGUCUAGAUUUAGUCACCCUGUGGACCUUUUGGUGUAAAGUGUGUGGGAAAUGUGCUCAGGGGUCUUGUAAUUAGGAGU